UACAGAGGGUGCAAGCGUUAAUCGGAUUUACUGGGCGUAAAGCGUGCGUAGGCGGUUCGUUAAGUCGGUUGUGAAAUCCCUGGGCUUAACCUGGGAACUGCAGUCGAUACUGAUGAACUAGAGUGCGGUAGAGGGUGGCGGAACUCCGGGUGUAGCGGUGAAAUGCGUAGAUAUCCGGAGGAAUACCGAUGGCGAAGGCAGGUCCCUGGGCUGACACUGACGCUCAUGCACGAAAGCGUGGAGAGCAAACAGG
rnacentral:rRNA from 1 species